rnacentral:rRNA from 1 species
UAGGGAAUCUUCGGCAAUGGGGGGAACCCUGACCGAGCAACGCCGCGUGAGUGAAGAAGGUUUUCGGAUCGUAAAGCUCUGUUGUUAAGGAAGAACGUGUGUGAGAGUGGAAAGUUCACACAGUGACGGUACUUAACCAGAAAGGGACGGCUAACUACGUGCCAGCAGCCGCGGUAAUACGUAGGUCCCGAGCGUUGUCCGGAUUUAUUGGGCGUAAAGCGAGCGCAGGCGGUUAGAUAAGUCUGAAGUGAAAGGCAGUGGCUCAACCAUUGUAGGCUUUGGAAACUGUUUAACUUGAGUGCAGAAGGGGAGAGUGGAAUUCCAUGUGUAGCGGUGAAAUGCGUAGAUAUAUGGAGGAACACCGGUGGCGAAAGCGGCUCUCUGGUCUGUAACUGACGCUGAGGCUCGAAAGCGUGGGGAGCGAACAGGAUUAGAUACCCUGGUAGUCCACGCCGUAAACGAUGAGUGCUAGGUGUUAGGUCCUUUCCGGGACUUGGUGCCGCAGCUAACGCAUUAAGCACUCCGCCUGGGGAGUACGGCCGCAAGGUUG